GAAUGAUGCAAGCACACCAGCUGAGAACUGCUGAAGAACAAACAACCCCUGGCAACUAAGUGGGAGGCUCCAAGGAAGAGGCCUGUGCAGCCCACAAGGACAGAGUCUUAGAGUCUUUUCUGGCUUUAGGAUCGAAGUGAGAUUAUCCAGAGCAAUCUGCAGACUAACUUAAAAGGUGAUCUAUCUGGACACGGAAGUAUCUGAAGAAGCAAAAGUAUUUUUUUUUCCACCCAGAUGACUGAGGCAGACAGUCUCUACCUAGGGAUCUAAGUGGCCAUGUUUAACCAUCUCCAAUCAAGACUGCAAUGAAGUUCAAUAUUUUGCAGGUCUAGAGCAUGUGGAACAUUUGGUGAUAGGUGAUUGCAAAGAAGCAAGAGGAAACUAAGCAGACUGACAAGUCGGGGAAGGCCUCGAAUACCAUCCUCCCUGGUAGCCCUAGUGGUGCCCACUUCCUUGCCUCAGGACAAGGGUAUGCUGAAGAGAAGACAUGGUAGGAACAAACAGGUGCAGGAGAAGAAUGUGGUCUUAGAUGUCCUGUUGAUGAGAACAUUGGACCUUUCCUUGAUUUUUGAAAUCCUGGGGUAAAAGCUCACAGCUGAAGUCCUCAGGACGAUGAAUGCAAAUGUGAAGGGCAGUGAUUGUGGUAAAGAGCUGACUCUCCAGCUCUAGGAAGCAUCCAUCUUCAGAACUGACAAACCAAAAGGCCUCAGAGGAGGAAAGAAGUGGACACAAGACAGUGAUGCAGCUAGGCCUGACAAGCAUGGCUGACCGACAAGGACAUCAGAUAACAAAAGAAACCUGUGAUAAGGAGCGCCAUCAUGGGUUCUACCCCAGCUCCCAUCAAGCUUCUCAAUGGAAAUGCCUUUCUUAAUGACAGAUAUUCUCUACAUCCUGCAGGAGACAGAUAAGAUGACACAGAUGGUCCCAGGUCUACUUGGCUUAGAAGAUGAGCCCAGGAGGGAAAGAUGGAUCAGGAUGGCCUCUUGGCAACUGAAACAAGUGCCCUGGAUCUUGCCAUUAAAACUUAAAGUGGGGCUGAUGAGCCUGCUCAGGGUAAAGGUGCCUGAUACUGAGCCUGACAACUUCAGUUCAAUCCGCAGGACCCAUAUAGAGAAAGAAGAAAAUUGAUUCCUUCUCUGACCUUCACAGAUGCUCUGUGGCACUCCACUUGUACACACACACACACACACACACACACACACACACACACACACACACAGACAGACACACACACAGAGGCAUGCACGCACACACAUGGACACAUGCACACUUAUGCACAAAUUAAAAUGCUAAAAUGCAAUACAAACAACUCAAGGGUCCCAAUUACACAUGCUCACAUAGGUUUAUAAGUGCAAAAAGGCACAUAGUCUUACACCUUGAAGAGAAUUUAGGAAUCAUUUAUUCAGGACUCCUCAACUUGGGAAUUUUUAGAAAACUGUCUUAGUUAAGCUUUUAUUGCUAUGAAGAAACAUGACCAUGGCACCUUAUAAAGGACAACAUUUAGUUGUGG
rnacentral:lncRNA from 1 species